UACGUAGGGGCCUAGCGUUGUCCGGAAUUAUUGGGCGUAAAGAGCUCGUAGGCGGUUCGGCAAGUCGGAUGUGAAAUCUCCAGGCUCAACCUGGAGGGGUCAUUCGAUACUGCCGUGACUAGAGUUCGGUAGAGGAGUGUGGAAUUCCUGGUGGAGCGGUGAAAUGCGCAGAGAUCAGGAGGAACACCCGUAGCGAAGGCGGCACUCUGGGCCGAUACUGACACUGAGGAGCGAAAGCGUGGGGAGCGAACAGG
rnacentral:rRNA from 1 species